rnacentral:rRNA from 1 species
ACGCUCGACACCUACGGGAGCAGCAGUGGGGAAUAUUGCACAAUGGGGGAAACCCUGAUGCAGCGACGCCGCGUGAGCGAAGAAGUAUUUCGGUAUGUAAAGCUCUAUCAGCAGGGAAGAAGAAAGACGGUACCUGACUAAGAAGCCCCGGCUAACUACGUGCCAACAGCCGCGGUAAUCUGAGCGGGCUGGCAAGGC